AAUUUCCCUAUCUUGGGAGCAGCUGAUCUUCUUGGACAGGGAGGAGCAUGUUCACCUGAGCAGAGGCCUGGAACCGGAAAGAGGAAUCGCCCAGGAGCCCCAGCCGGAGGAGAAACUGGAAGAAGUGAACCUGAGCAGCCUGGACAUCCUUGUAAGCAGAGAUGAACAGUCCUCCGCUUUGUCUUCUCCAUGACUGGCUCUGCGCUUGCAGAGGAAUUGGCCAGGAGCCCCAGCCACAGAAGAAGCUGGCACAAGUGGACCUGAGCAACCUGGACAUCCUU